rnacentral:rRNA from 1 species
GACGAACCGGACAAACGUUAUUCGGAAUUACUGGGCUUAAAGAGUGCGUAGGCGGCCGGGAAGGUGAGGUGUGAAAUCCCACGGCUCAACCGUGGAAUGGCGCUUCAAACCACUUGGCUUGAGGGAGAUAGGGGUGAGCGGAACUGAUGGUGGAGCGGUGAAAUGCGUUGAUAUCAUCAGGAACACCGGUGGCGAAGGCGGCUCACUGGAUCUCUUCUGACGCUGAGGCACGAAAGCUAGGGGAGCGAACGGG